CAGUCGCCGCGGGAAUACGUAGGGUGCAAGCGUUAAUCGGAAUUACUGGGCGUAAAGCGUGCGCAGGCGGUCCGCUAAGACAGAUGUGAAAUCCCCGGGCUUAACCUGGGAACUGCAUUUGUGACUGGCGGGCUAGAGUAUGGCAGAGGGGGGUAGAAUUCCACGUAUAGCAGUGAAAUGCGUAGAGAUGUGGAGGAAUACCGAUGGCGAAGGCAGCCCCCUGGGCCAAUACUGACGCUCAUGCACGAAAGCGUGGGGAGCAAACAGGAUUAGAUACCCCAGUAGUCCCUGUCUCUUAUAC
rnacentral:rRNA from 1 species